rnacentral:rRNA from 1 species
GACGAACGCUGGCGGCGUGCCUAAUACAUGCAAGUAGAACGCUGAAGGAGGAGCUUGCUCUUCUGGAUGAGUUGCGAACGGGUGAGUAACGCGUAGGUAACCUGCCUGGUAGCGGGGGAUAACUAUUGGAAACGAUAGCUAAUACCGCAUAACAGUAGAUGUCGCAUGACAUUUACUUAAAAGGUGCAAUUGCAUCACUACCAGAUGGACCUGCGUUGUAUUAGCUAGUUGGUGGGGUAACGGCUCACCAAGGCGACGAUACAUAGCCGACCUGAGAGGGUGAUCGGCCACACUGGGACUGAGACACGGCCCAGACUCCUACGGGAGGCAGCAGUAGGGAAUCUUCGGCAAUGGACGGAAGUCUGACCGAGCAACGCCGCGUGAGUGAAGAAGGUUUUCGGAUCGUAAAGCUCUGUUGUAAGAGAAGAACGAGUGUGAGAGUGGAAAGUUCACACUGUGACGGUAUCUUACCAGAAAGGGACGGCUAACUACGUG